rnacentral:rRNA from 1 species
UACGUAGGGUGCAAGCGUUGUCCGGAAUUUAUUGGGCGUAAAGAGCUCGUAGGCGGUCUGUCGCGUCUGCUGUGAAAACUCAGGGCUUAACCCUGAGCUUGCAGUGGGUACGGGCAGACUAGAGUGCGGUAGGGGAGACUGGAAUUCCGUGGUGAUAGCGGUGAAAUGCGCAGAUAUCAGGAGGAACACCGGUGGCGAAGGCGGGUCUCUGGGCCGUAACUGACGCUGGAGGAGCGAAAGCGUGGGGAGCGAACAGG